AGGAAGCCACUCACCAAUCAACAUCCAGACUCCACAUUGGGCCCAGGUCUCAGUGGUCAUCUGCAUCAUCAGGCCCAGGACACCCGAGAACCAGACAGCAGACAGGGAGAGAGCAUCCAGCACUGACCUGGAGGAAAGGGCACAGAGGGUGCCGACGGCCACAGCAUAUCUGAUGGGGGCCCAUCCAAUGUGGACAAAAGCCUCCGGCAAGGGGUUCUCGGGACAUAUCAGGUAGUAGGGGCACUAUGAGGGUGAGCGCCGCUGAGACACCAAAAUAGGCCAAGAAGCAGAUGAAGAUCGAGGUCA
rnacentral:lncRNA from 1 species